CAGAGGGACCUAGCGUUGUUCGGAAUGACUGGGCGUAAAGGGUGCGUAGGUGGUUACUUAAGUAGGGUGUUAAAUCCUUGGGCUCAACCCAAGAAUCGCAUUCUAUACUGGGUGACUGGAGUAUGGGAGAGGAGAUUGGAAUUCCUAGUGUAGAGGUGAAAUUCGUAGAUAUUAGGAGGAACACCAGAGGCGAAGGCGAAUCUCUGGCCCAUUACUGACACUGAGGCACGAAAGCGUGGGGAGCAAACAGGAUUAGAUACCCUGGUAGUCCACGCCCUAAACGAUGAGUGCUAGACGUUGGAAUUUUAUUUUCAGUGUCGCAGCUAACGCGUUAAGCACUCCGCCUGAGGAUUACGGUCGCAAGACUA
rnacentral:rRNA from 1 species